CCUACGGGUGGCAGCAGUAGGGAAUUUUGCGCAAUGGGGGAAACCCUGACGCACCACCGCCGCUUGCACUCUUCCUCCCUUCUUUUUUUCCCUCUCUUUCCUUUUUUCCUCACCCUGACGGUACCCACAGAGGAAGCACCGGCUAACUCCGUGCCAGCAGCCGCGGUAAUACGGGGGGUGCAAGCGUUGUCCGGAAUCAUUGGGCGUAAAGAGUUCGUAGGUGGCACGUUAAGUCUGGUGUUAAAGGCGGAAGCUCAACUUCCGUAGGGCACUGGAUACUGGCGAGCUUGAAUGCGGUAGAGGUAAAGGGAAUUCCUGGUGUAGCGGUGAAAUGCGUAGAUAUCAGGAGGAACAUCGGUGGCGUAAGCGCUUUACUGGGCCGUAAUUGACACUGAGGAACGAAAGCCGGGGUAGCAAAUGGGAUUAGAGAAAAGGGUAGUC
rnacentral:rRNA from 1 species